rnacentral:rRNA from 1 species
AUUAAACGCUGGCGGCAGGCCCAACACAUGCAAGUCGAGCGGAUGAAGGGAGCUUGCUCCUGGAUUCAGCGGCGGACGGGUGAGUAAUGCCUAGGAAUCUGCCUGGUAGUGGGGGAUAACGUCCGGAAACGGGCGCUAAUACCGCAUACGUCCUGAGGGAGAAAGUGGGGGAUCUUCGGACCUCACGCUAUCAGAUGAGCCUAGGUCGGAUUAGCUAGUUGGUGGGGUAAAGGCCUACCAAGGCGACGAUCCGUAACUGGUCUGAGAGGAUGAUCAGUCACACUGGAACUGAGACACGGUCCAGACUCCUACGGGAGGCAGCAGUGGGGAAUAUUGGACAAAGGGCGAAAGCCUGAUCCAGCCAUGCCGCGUGUGUGAAGAAGGUCUUCGGAUUGUAAAGCACUUUAAGUUGGGAGGAAGGGCAGUAAGUUUAUACCUUGCUGUUUUGACGUUACCAACAGAAUAAGCACCGGCUAACUUCGUG